GGCCGCUGGCUGCACCCAGCACCGGAGCCGGAGCCGCGGCCGCCGCCAUGUCCCACCAGACCGGCAUCCAAGCAAGUGAAGAUGUUAAAGAUAUAUUUGCCAGAGCCAGAAAUGGAAAAUACAGACUUCUAAAAAUAUCUAUUGAAAAUGAGCAACUUGUGAUUGGAUCUUGUAGGCAGGCUUCAGAUUCCUGGGAUAAGGAUUAUGAUUCCUUUGUUUUACCCCUGUUGGAGGACAAACAGCCAUGCUAUAUAUUAUUCAGGUUAGAUUCUCAGAAUGCUCAAGGAUAUGAAUGGAUAUUCAUUGCCUGGUCUCCAGAUCAUUCUCAUGUUCGUCAAAAAAUGUUGUAUGCAGCAACAAGAGCAACUCUGAAAAAGGAGUUUGGAGGUGGCCACAUUAAAGAUGAAGUAUUUGGAACCGUAAAGGAAGAUGUAUCAUUACAUGGAUAUAAAAAAUAUUUGCUGUCACAAUCUUCCCCUGCCCCAUUGACUGCAGCUGAGGAAGAAUUACGACAGAUUAAAAUUAAUGAGAGCCCAGAGGAUCGUAUUGGGGUACAAACUGACGUGGGUGUGGACAGUAAACAUCAAACACUACAAGGAGUAGCAUUUCCUAUUUCUCGAGAAGCUUUUCAGGCUUUGGAAAAAUUAAAUAACAGACAGCUCAACUAUGUACAGUUGGAAAUAGAUAUAAAAAAUGAAAUUAUAAUUUUGGCCAACACGACAAAUACAGAACUAAAAGAUUUGCCAAAGAGGAUUCCCAAGGAUUCAGCACGUUACCAUUUCUUUCUGUAUAAACACUCCCAUGAAGGAGACUAUUUAGAGUCCAUAGUUUUUAUUUAUUCAAUGCCUGGAUACACUUGCAGUAUAAGAGAACGGAUGCUGUAUUCUAGCUGCAAGAGCCCUCUGCUAGAAAUCGUAGAAAGACAACUACAAAUGGAUGUAAUAAGAAAGAUUGAGAUAGACAAUGGGGAUGAACUGACUGCAGACUUCCUUUAUGAAGAAGUGCAUCCCAAGCAGCAUGCACAUAAGCAAAGUUUUGCAAAACCAAAAGGUCCUGCAGGAAAAAGAGGAAUUCGAAGACUAAUUAGAGGUCCAGCUGAAACUGAAGCCACUACUGAUUAAAAUCGUUAUAUUAAAUGUUGCAAUACUAGUUUUUUAAAAGUCCAGCUUUCAGUACAAGAGAACUGAAAUCAUUCCAUGUUGAUAUAUAGUAGGGAAAAAAUUGUACUUUUUGAAAAAUAGCACUUUUCACUUCUGUGUGUUUUUAAAAUUAAUGUUAUAGAAGACUCAUGAUUUCUAUUUUUGAGUUAAAACUAGAAAAGGGUUCAACAUAGUAAUGUUUAAUUUUGUCACACUGUUUUCAUAGAAUGUUGGUUCUACACUUUCACAUAAUUCUUAAAAUUUUAUACAGUUGAGCCAGUUCCAGAAAGUCUAAUGUCUCAAAGUAGAUGUACUUCUUAUUACUCUUUAGUGAGACACCUGAAUUUUUUUUUAAGACAGAAAGACCUUAAAAUAUUCAUAGUACUUAAUGAAUAUGUUAAGGAUCAGGUUAGAUUAUUUUCUAAGGUAAAAAUUUAGUGUGCCUAAAAAAAGAUGGGAAGUUGCUUACUCUGAAGAGCUGUUCUAACUCUAUCAGACUGUGGGAACAUGUCUGUAACUUUUAGAAACAGUGCUUUAUUGCAGCAAUCUUUUCUAUUUGACUCUUUGGUUUUUUUAAUGGCAUUGAAGUUCAGCUUAUUCUGAAACUUUAAGGGUACCAGAUAUUUCCUAGACUGCAGGAUUUCUGAUGGCAUCGAAGGACUUUAAACAGCCUUAGUAAAUUCUCUAUCUAGUGCUUUAGAAAAUUUCUGUUUCCAGAUUGUCAUUUCAUUAUAAGUACUGUGAGGCCAAAUAUUUAUGUUUAGAUUGAAAUUCAAAUUAAUAUCAUUCAGAAGGAAACAAAACUAAAGUUAAAAAUGCUGAAGAAGUUGUAAACAUCAAGAUCGAUUUUUUUUUUCUCCAAAACCAUGUAUUUAUAGGUAAAUUGAUCACUUUUAUCACUUUACCACUUUUGAGCAAAUAUUCAGAUUUAAAAUUGUUUUAAAGUCCUAGUGCUUAGCUUAACACAGAUAAACACUUAAGAAUCUUGUUUCAAUUAAUACCUUAUUUCAAAACACAUUUAACUGUUUUGUGAAGCUUUGCACACUUUCAGUUACAACCUAGAGAGAUUUUGAGCCUCAUAUUUCUUUGAUACUUGAAAUAGAGGGAGCUAGAACACUUCAUGUUUAAUCUGUUAAACCUGCUGCAAGAGCCAUAACUGAAGAGUUUUCUAAAUAAACGGGGGGGAUCCAGGAUUUGGAAUUUCUUGAUCUAAACUUUAUGCUGCAUAAAACAAAUAUGAGAAAUGCACAUUUCAUUUAUAAAAUAUGAAACACUGAUUUCUAAAUCUUAUUAUCUAAGGUAAUAUAUGCACCUUUCAGAAUUUCCAUGUGUGUUCAAGUAAGUAAAGCAUAUUAGAAUAAUUAUGGGUUGACAG